CCCUUAGAUGUUCUGGGCCGCACGCGCGCUACACUGAUCGGUGCAACAAGCAUCCGUCCUUGGCCGACAGGCCCGGGCAAUCUUUGAACGCCGGUCGUGAUGGGGAUAGACCUUUGCAAUUUUUGGUCUUCAACGAGGAAUUCCUAGUAAACGCAAGUCAUCAACUUGCAUUGAUUACGUCCCUGCCCUUUGUACACACCGCCCGUCGCACCUACCGAUUGAAUGGUCCGGUGAAAUCUCGGGACGGCGGCUUGGUCGCUUGCGUCCGACUGCUGAAACUUGAUUAAACCAUAUCAUUUAGAGGAAGGUGAAGUCGUANCA
rnacentral:rRNA from 1 species